GCAAAUGGUUAAUGUGCUCAGCUGCUAACUGAAAGGUUGGUGGUUCAAGUCCACC
rfam:Loxodonta africana unplaced genomic scaffold scaffold_1, whole genome shotgun sequence.